AAACUCGAUUCACCAUCGCCAGCCACGGGAGGACUGGGAGGACCUCCAGAGGAGGUUAGGUCGACUUCAUGGUAACUUUAGAUCCGGAAACCUCCCAGGAUUUUUCUUGUCUUCCCUUUGAUCUCUCUUCCACCUACCCAACAGGACAGGACUCGCCGCCUUUCUUUCCCGGCAGAAAGGGGUCCGUUGCGGACAAGACCAAAGUGAGCAGCUGGUUUCCCCUACUUGUCCUUCCGGGCCUGGGCGUCUCGGGAACUCAGGCUGACCCGACACCUAACUCCUGGCGAGUGGGACCACCAGGAGCCUGGAAGAGCGCGCGCACCGAGAUGGAAGUUGGGCGCCGGGGUCGAGAACCGCGGUCAAACCCUCUUCUUCCAGGGGCACCGCGCACCUGCCCCCGGGGAUGCCGAAGGAAGUGACCCAUAAAGCUUCUCUGCAACCGAAAGAGGCCUGAAGCUCCAGGAGGGCCGAGAGGAGCCUCGUUGAGCAAACCCAGCCCUCUGCCUGGCUGGCCCUGGUCAACAGGCUCGGAAGAGGCCGAUUUGGAGGACAGAACGGAAGAAAAGACCUAAAGGUUUCGAAUCUCAUGACGCAGAGAUGUUAAAAAUCUCCAAUCCUAAGGUCCGACUGUGCGGGGGAGCGAGGGGGUCUCAAGCUGGAUCGACCCCUGAGCCUUCAUCUGGAGAGUCCUCUGCACAAGCUCAGACAGCAGGACAACGCGCAUCAGUGGUUCUCAAGAGGGGGCAACUUCGCCCUUACACGCCUCUCCCAUCCCCGCUGGGACACUAGGUCACGAAUGGGGGAAGCGGGGAGGGAGAAUGCUAACCCCCUGGCAUGUAUCUAGUCAGCGGAGGCGACGGCUGCUGCUAAACACCUUACAAUCCACGGGAGGGCCCCUCCCCUACCCCGAAGUAGCUAUUCCGCAGAGGUGGAGAGACUCGCGUGUAGCUCAAUGCCCACGCACUUAGCCGAUGGGAAAUCACGAAUUGAUGACCAGUUGGCUCUUGGAUGUGAGGAAAAAUCUCCAGAGUCAGAGGGAACUCUCGAAGUUUUGCCCGGAGCAAACGGAAGGGUGGCGUUGCCAUCGCCUAAGAUGGGAAAAUGGCAGGUGUCACAGGUUGCAGGGGAAGGUCGGAGACCAGCUGAGGGCCCCGGAGCCUUCCUGGAAAGAGUUUCCCAUCCAGCCCGCCUCGGUUUCCGCAUCCGUCUUAUUCCUUAUGACGUUGAGGGUGCUGGCGUCUGGGUCCUUUAUGAUGCAGAGGGUGCCCCCGUCUCACCCCGGGCGCCUCCGCGCUCCCGCCUCCUCCUGGCAACCUGGUGCGCGGCUCCGGAUCUGGCGACCCACGACCGGCUGGUCACUUGCUGCCACCUCGCAAAGGCGCAUCUCUAGUCCAGUGGUGAGCUGCGGCCGGGUCGCUGUAACUCGCUCCAGGACUCGGGACUCGUGGCCUUGGUGUCCCUCGCGGAGCCCUCGGUGUGUCGCCUGCAGGCUCUUUUUUUGAAGAAAGCAGGGAGGGAAUGGCCUUGUGAGAGACUCCAGGAGCAAAGAGCGACCCUCACAAGGCCCAAGUCCUCCCAGAGCUCAGGGAAGCUGUGGCUUCUGACGGAAGAAGGGAGAGAAAGCUCCCUCCUGUGUGUCCCUGGUGGUCUAGUGGCUAGGAUUCGGCGCUUUCACCGCUGCGGCCCGGGUUCGAUUCCCGGUCAGGGAAUCGUUUUACACUGGCCGCCCUCCCGCAGGAAUCUUCCUUCACUACGCUGUCAGCCGGCCUGCUCCAAGAGCCAGAAGCAGAACAGUCUCCUCAGCGGGGUCAAAGACGGGCGAAGGAGGGCAAGUGCUUGUGGACCACCUCUCACGACACACCGUUCCUAUUUAUCUCCGUGUCCGUCAUCCGCGGGAGCAGCUUUAGAGAGCGACUGAGCAUCUCGGUCCGGUGUACACAGCCCGGCAGAGAUGCCAGCCCCCGUGGAGCUGCACCCAAUAAGCCCACCUUCUUUCCCGUCGCCACCCCGGAGACGCCCAUCGGGCUGAGCUGCGAAUAACUAAGAGAGAGGCCAAGCCAAGUCGUGGCGUUUGUGGCAGCCCCGGACACGGGCACCAGCCAGUCAGCGGAGCCUCCUCACCUCCGUUGCCAGCGAAGGCGCUCGUUAGGCCUUGGGAAGAGGCGACCGGAGGCGAUGCCCGCGAAUUUGUUAGGGGGGGGAGAGACCGUGGUCACGAAGGGGGUUCUCCCAGAGUGAAGCUUCUUCAUCGCACUCUAGAGUUGCUGAUUCCUGUGAUUUCCUCCAUGUGGGAAACGGUGUUUGUGCUAGAAGAGGCUGCGCUCUUUACCUGACAUAAGGGGGUUCAAGACUGACAUCGCCUCACGCCUACCCGAAAACGUUUACAUGGCUUGUCUCUUUUUUUUUCUGUCCUAAAGUCGCCUCAUCUUCACAUCCCCUCAUUUUUUCUUCCACACUCGAGAGUGUCUCUCUCUCUCAUUAAAAGCUCCACCAAAUAUUUGAAAUAUCUCAACCAGAAAGACUGCAAUAAAUACAUUAUUUCAUUCGUGGAAGCUACAGACCA